rnacentral:rRNA from 3 species
AAGCGGAGGAAAAGAAACUAACAAGGAUUCCCCUAGUAGCGGCGAGCGAAGCGGGAAAAGCUCAAAUUUGUAAUCUGGCGUCUACGACGUCCGAGUUGUAAUCUCGAGAAGUGUUUUCCGUGAUAGACCGCAUACAAGUCUCUUGGAACAGAGCGUCAUAGUGGUGAGAACCCAGUACACGAUGCGGAUGCCUAUUACUUUGUGAUACACUUUCGAAGAGUCGAGUUGUUUGGGAAUGCAGCUCAAAUUGGGUGGUAAAUUCCAUCUAAAGCUAAAUAUUGGCGAGAGACCGAUAGCGAACAAGUACCGUGAGGGAAAGAUGAAAAGCACUUUGGAAAGAGAGUUAACAGUACGUGAAAUUGUUGGAAGGGAAACACAUGCAGCCAGACUUGCUAUUCGGGGCAACUCGAUUGGCAGGCCCGCAUCAGUUUUUCGGGGCGGAAAAGCAUAGAGAGAAGGUAGCAAUUUCGGUUGUGUUAUAGCUCUUUAUUGGAUUCGCCCUGGGGGACUGAGGAACGCAGCGUGCUUUUAGCAUAAGCUUCGGCUUAUCCACGCUUAGGAUGCGGGUGUAAUGGCUGUAUAUGACCCGUCUUGAAACACGGACCAAGGAGUCUAACAUGCUUGCGAGUAUUUGGGUGUCAAACCCGGAUGCGCAAUGAAAGUGAAUGGAGGUGGGAAGCGCAAGCUGCACCAUCGACCGAUCUGGAUCUUUUGAGAUGGAUUUGAGUAAGAGCAAGUAUGUUGGGACCCGAAAGAUGGUGAACUAUGCCUGAAUAGGGCGAAGCCAGAGGAAACUCUGGUGGAGGCUCGUAGCGGUUCUGACGUGCAAAUCGAUCGUCAAAUUUGGGUAUAGGGGCGAAAGACUAAUCGAACCA